UACGCAGGUGGCGAGCGUUGCCCGGAAUUACUGGGCGUAAAGGGGGCGUAGGCGGUUUGGCAAGUCAAGUGUGAAAUUCCACGGCUCAACUGUGGAGCUGCGCUUGAAACUGCCAAACUUGAGGCCAGUAGAGGGAGACGGAACUGCUGGUGUAGGGGUGAAAUCCGUAGAUAUCAGCAGGAACGCCGGUGGAGAAGUCGGUCUCCUGGGCCGUUCCUGACGCUGAGGCCCGAAAGCUAGGGGAGCAAACCGG
rnacentral:rRNA from 1 species